rnacentral:rRNA from 1 species
GACAGAGGGUGCAAACGUUGUUCGGAAUUACUGGGCGUAAAGCGCGUGUAGGCGGCCGUACAAGUCGGGUGUGAAAGCCCCGGGCUCAACCCGGGAAGUGCAUUCGAUACUGUAUGGCUGGAGUCCCGGAGAGGAUGGUGGAACUCUCGGUGUAGAGGUGAAAUUCGUAGAUAUCGAGAAGAACACCGGUGGCGAAGGCGGCCAUCUGGACGGUGACUGACGCUGAGACGCGAAAGCGUGGGGAGCAAACAGG